rnacentral:rRNA from 1 species
GACGAACGCUGGCGGCGUGCUUAACACAUGCAAGUCGAACGGAAAGGCCCUGCUUGCAGGGUGCCCGAGUGGCGAACGGGUGAGUAACACGUGGGUGAUCUGCCCCUUACUUUGGGAUAAGCCUGGGAAACUGGGUCUAAUACUGGAUAGGACCAUGCUGUAGGUGGUGUGGUGGAAAGAUUAGUUUCGGUAAGGGAUGAGCUCGCGGCCUAUCAGCUUGUUGGUGGGGUAAUGGCCUACCAAGGCGUCGACGGGUAGCCGGCCUGAGAGGGUGGACGGCCACAUUGGGCCUGAGAUACGGCCCAGACUACUACGGGAGGCAGCAGUGGGGAAUAUUGCACAAUGCGAGGAAGCCUGAUGCAGCGACGCCGCGUGGGGGAUGACGGCCUUCGGGUUGUAAACUCCUUUCAGCCAUGACGAAGCCCUUGUGGUGACGGUAGUGGUAGAAGAAGCACCGGCUAACUACGUG